AGAAGUUACUUUUUCCACCCUGACAGUGUAACCCAGCUGUAUAUUUCAGCAUUUGUAAACUGUUGCUGUAGUGUCUUUAUAAUCUCGCGAGAUUUUGCCACGAGACCUUAGCCACGCCCACUGUUCGGCGCAGGAGAAGCAGGAGCUCGAGCACUUUCAGGUGCAUUCACCGCUGGAACAAACACGGCGACUGUUUUUGCUCCCCCAGUUAAACUAAAGAGUCGGUUCAAGGGACUGUUUUCUGGCGACAGCAAAUAGUCCAGCAGCUCAGCCCAAAGGAAACCUGUGACUGUCCAGCCUACACUUCUGUACGCGGUAGGAGGCCCUGUAGCCAAUCCCUAUUUCGCUUCCUGCUUCUACCACCUCCAACGCACCUUGGACUCCUACGGGGGAUCUUUACGUUUCGCCUCCUUGUUUGUGGAUUAAAACUUAGGUUCCCUCCUGGAACAUGGACUAUUAGGAUCACUAUUGAGCUCUGAACUCUGGCAGGUGUCGAGGUUCUAGUCCUUAACAUGGAUCUAAUGCCGUCCUACAUGAACUCUCUUACCAAAGUCACUGUGUCAGUUCUUGCCUCUCUUACAUGACUCAAUUGCACUUGAUACUGUAAAUAUUGUAUAUAUGUCUCAAUAACACUCUGCAUUUUUGGAUAGCACCAUAAUUUUGUCUUGUUUUAUUUGGCCCUUCUUGUUUACUUCUCAUUCUAGAGAGAAUCUAGUUUCUGAUCCGACUUCAUAUAUUUCACAUUUGAUCAUAUUCUGCAUAAAUCCUGGCAAAUGUAAUCCCCUACAGAUUACAGAUUACAUACCCCAAAAUGUAGUUUGUAACGUAAUCCAUUAAAUUACUUAAAGUGAGUAAUGUAAUCUGAAUACUUUGGGUUACUUGAUUUGCUGUCGAGUAGCAAAGACGAGGGAAUCUUCACAUAAGAUGUUUAGUCUACUAAAAGACAAUAAAGAAGCCCAGUCUUUACUUAAUCGUAUUAAAAAUGUUAUUGAUAGAGGAGGAGGAGACACGGUCUGCACAGCAUGGUUUAGUCCUGUUAAAUCCUGUUUUAGACCUGGUUUAGGCUUGGUUUAGACCUAGGUUAGACCUGGUUUUAAACCUGGUUUUAGUCCUGCUUUAGUCCUGGUUUAGACCUGGUUUUAGUCCUGCUUUAGUCCUGGUUUAGACCUGGUUUUAGUCCUGCUUUAGUCCUGGUUUAGACCUGGUUUUAGUCCUGCCUUUAGUCCUGGUUUAGACCUAGUUUAGACCUAGUUUAGACCUGGUUUUAGACCUGGUUUGGACUUGGGUUUAGACCUGGUUUGGACCUGGUUUAGUGUCCGGCAAUUAGUGGAAUUACCAAAAAAAAAAAAGGGAUUUAGCCCAAAAUGUGAAAACGGGAAAAUACCUCUGUGUAAUCCAUUUAUUUCAACAAAGUAACUGUAAUCCAAUUACCUCUCAUGGAAAAAGUAACUGUAACUGAAUACAGUUACUCAUAAUUUGUACUCUGAUUACGUAACUCCAGUACAUGUAAUCUGUUACUCCCCAAUACCGCUCAUAUGUCAUACUUGUAUGUUUCAUUAUUGCAAAGAAAUGUACUCAGAAUGAAUACUAUAAUAUAUUGUUUCACUUAUCAUUUAUCUGAUUCGUCGAUAUGGUAAAAUAAUAGGAAUACACACUUUACUGUUUGGGAUAUAUUCUCGUGGGGACCCUGUACACACACACUUUUCCGAGGAUGUCCUCAUGGGGCCCCUGCAGUACCACCCGAUGACCACUAGGGUAUACACACGACGCACACUUUCUCAUGAAAAUUCGCCCCCAGGGGACUUUUUCUAAUUUUGAAAAAAAACUUCACUAGGCAUAUUAGAAUGACGUUUUACAGUGAUUUAGAUGGUUGGACCCGUGGGGUCCAGGCCUCGGGCCCCACGACGAAAAAUCGGUCCCCACGACGUGAGUGAAAUCUCAGGUUGUGGACCCCACAAAGAUAUAAAAACGAGUGCACACACACACAC